rnacentral:rRNA from 1 species
GCGGAAGGCUCCUUCGGGGGUACUCGAGCGGCGAACGGGUGAGUAACACGUGAGUAAUCUGCCCUGCGCUCUGGGAUAGCCACCGGAAACGGUGAUUAAUACCGGAUAGGACCACUUCACGCAUGUGAUGGUGGUGGAAAGUUUUUUCGGCGCAGGAUGUGCUCGCGGCCUAUCAGCUUGUUGGUGAGGUAAUGGCUCACCAAGGCUUUGACGGGUAGCCGGCCUGAGAGGGUGACCGGUCACACUGGGACUGAGACACGGCCCAGACUCCUACGGGAGGCAGCAGUGGGGAAUAUUGGACAAUGGGCGGAAGCCUGAUCCAGCAACGCCGCGUGAGGGAUGACGGCCUUCGGGUUGUAAACCUCUUUCAGUACCGACGAAGCGAAAGUGACGGUAGGUACAGAAGAAGGACCGGCCAACUACGUGCCAGCAGCCGCGGUAAUACGUAGGGUCCGAGCGUUGUCCGGAAUUAUUGGGCGUAAAGGGCUCGUAGGCGGUUUGUCGCGUCGGGAGUGAAAACACCGGGCUUAACUCGGUGCUUGCUUUCGAUACGGGCAGACUAGAGGUAUGCAGGGGAGAAUGGAAUUCCUGGUGUAGCGGUGAAAUGCGCAGAUAUCAGGAGGAACACCGGUGGCGAAGGCGGUUCUCUGGGCAUUACCUGACGCUGAGGAGCGAAAGUGUGGGGAGCGAACAGGAUUAGAUACCCUGGUAGUCCACACC